rnacentral:lncRNA from 1 species
CCCAGGCUCUCCUGACUCCCUGGGAAAACCCUCCCCUCGCCAGUUGCCUGGGCUCAGUCCACCUCCAGCAAAGAAAUACUACUGUGCUGAUGACUCUCGCCGAAGGGAGACGCUUACUCUGGGAACUCUUGCUGAAGAGACUCUCGCAGACUUCUGGAUGGAGAUUGGAACUUUGUUGGAGUGAGAAGAAGGCAAACAAUCUGAUACCAAUUAUACGAGUGAAAUGAUGCAAAACAUUUCCAUAUCUGCCAAUGGAAAGGAAAAGCAAAGAAGAAAAAGUAAAGAAAGCAAGAAAUUAGACUUCAAUUUGUCCAUCAGUUCUCUUUCUGGA